AUUCCUACGGGAGGCAGCAGUAGGGAAUUUUCGUCAAUGGGCGCAAGCCUGAACGAGCGAUGCCGCGUGAGUGAAGAAGGCCUUCGGGUCGUAAAGCUCUGUUGCGGGGGAAAAAAGGCAGCAUCAGGAAAUGGGUGCUGACUGAUGGUGCCCCGCCAGAAAGUCACGGCUAACUACGUGCCAGCAGCCGCGGUAAUACGGAGGUGGCAAGCGGUAUCCGGAUUUAUGGGGAGUAAAGGGAAAGGGGGCGG
rnacentral:rRNA from 1 species